ensembl:processed_transcript Gm10030 predicted gene 10030
AGAAGGUUCUUGUCUGGUAUGAGGGUCCAUUUGUGCCAGGGUUUCACCUCUUGCAUCAGCUCCUGGAACACAUGUCGCCAUUGCUCUGUGUCUCCUAUGUCUUCUUCCAUCAUGGCUACAGUGCUGGGUCCAGGCUGGGGCAGGGUCUUCUGGGUCCAGAAAGACCUGUGGCAAGAGGGGAAUUGUUCACUCAGACAGCAAGGCUUCAGGCUGGCAGUCCCUCUGAAGACCUGAAUUGGGACUGUAGUUCAGAUCCUUCUGUCCCAGGGACAAAGGUCAGUUGAGUCUGUUCCCAAGUUCAGAGGACAGCAGUGGACAACCACAAGAAAUCACAAAACUCCAAGCUUUGGUUUUUAAGGUCUCAAUACACUAGUGAGGGAGAAAGUGCUGGAGUCCAAAGCAGGGAUGAACGGCCUCUGGCAGAGUCUCUGAAAGGGCUGGAGGCUACUCUUGCCUUUUCUGGUUCUAACAUUUGGAAAUCUUCAUCUUUUGUGCUCCUGAGCUCCUACUUGAGGCAAAAGAGGCCUCCCUGGGAGUCCCACACUCUGGGAAGUCCUCAGUCACACCUAGUAUCUCAGGAGGAUGGUGGGUGAUCUGUAGACAUCCAGCUGUUCCCCCGCGCCCACCAACCACAGCCUGACCCCGGAGGUCUCCGGCCCAACCAAAUUUUCCACUUACCAGAAAUCGAAGCUGGUGCAGCCAGUGUUUGCCUGGGAGAUUAGGUGAUGUGUCACUAGAUGAGUGGAAGGCUGCUGGUCCAAGACCAACAGGAACCCAUUGCAUUCCUCCACAAGAAGGUUGGCUUACUUAUCACCCUAAACCGAGGAAGGCAGAGAGGAGCACAGUUGGAUCAGGCAGUACUCUAUUUAAGGCAGACAAGAUUGGGAGUGUCUACACCCCGAGACUCCAUCCACAGAUAGGGUGGGUCUUCCUAUCAACUGAUUGCCCUGGCUGCUUCCCAAACUGGACGCUCCGCAGCCUGGAAGAAAAGAAGGAAACCAGGGGGAGGGGCUUCCUGUGACGUUUGGAAACUGAGUUUCUCCAGGCUUCUCCCGACCGCCUCUGCCCUACAUCACAGCUUUAUGGCCAGAGUCACACCAUGGUCUUUUCUCCCUGCUUUCAUUUAGUUUCUCAAUGUUAUUUGCUCAGUUAUAAAUUAACUACAUCAUUUGGGAAGGUAGUUCAGUUUCUAUUUUUUGGCUCUCCCCCUUUUCAGCUUUUCACUAUGGGGUAUCCUUCUCUCCCCCACCCCCAACCCCCAGUUGCUUAUUCCGGCUUUCGAUAAAUAGGAGUUCUCUAUUUAUUGUCAACGGUGCUAUGCUCCUCACAUGUUUGGGGUCUUUCCUAGAGGUCUCACUGUGUAAGACAGUCCCUAGGGCUGGUGCUGACAUAUUUCCGAGAGAAAGGAGGCUACUGUGUUUCUAAUAUGGAAAGUACAAAUGUUAGGGGAGUUUGUUCCUAGUUGUGGUGCCGGCUGUGGACUCACUGUUGAUAAGUCAACAACUGAACAUAAACUGGGUCAGCUUUAAACAAAGGUUUAAAGCUAGGCUUGCAUCAGCCUCUCCUGGGGAAAAGGGUGAAUGCCUAGUCACAGGGAUGUCACUGAGCUUGUACUGGUCAGGUGACUGAAGCACAAGCAGAGGACUGCUAGACCCUCACAUAGUGCCCUUAGGAGAAAUGGCUCUGUGUUCAAGACAACAGUUAGGGCCUCCAUGUGCAGCAGGAAUUAACUAUGCCUUCCUUUGCUCACCUCGUGGUGGCUUGCCUCCUCUCCUGCAUUAUACAGGAGAGCUAAGUUGGUAGUGAAACUAAAUCUCUGCCUCUCUCCAAUUUUUGUUUAGAAUGUUACUAAAGCCUUAACUCAGUUAGCCAGCAAUCCUAUACCCUGCGGGUCCCCAAGACCAACAUCCAAGGUUCUCUCUUAUCAGCUCAGGCCUCUGAGCCCAUGGUUAGGACUUGUGGACCUUUCCCAAGUGGGUUGAAUUGUGGCAUUCCAAAUGAGGUAUCUACUUGUGAAUGUGUGUGGAAAACUUGAGUGUUUUCAGAUGUAAUUAAGGACCCGAGAGAAGACCUUCUUUGCAAGAUUUAGAGUUUUCUGUGGCUACCAGGACAUAGCAUAGCAGCAAGAAGAUAGGUGAAAGGCCAAACUGCAUGUCACUCACAACCUGACCUGGAGAAGGAUGCCAGGCGAGCCUACACAGCGUGCCCAGGGACACGGAACAGCAAAGUGUAGCUACAGAGCACAGCAGGAGCAUCUCUAGGCUUGCAUUAGCCUCUCCUGGGAAAAUGAGCGGAUGUCUAGUCACUCCAGGUCAAAGUCCAGCAGCAGGCAUCUUUCCCAUGGUAUGCAGAGGGAGGUGUCACACAGAAGCACAGGAGAAGAACCAUCAGAGACACAAGCAGUGACUAGACUUACAUUGUCACAAGCAAAGGAACACCUGGGACCCAAAGAGCAGAAGUUUCUCCCCGGACCCUCUGAAUGGGCAGAAGGACUGCAGACCACUUACUUUUGAACGUCUUGCUUGCAGAACCGUAAAUAACCACUCAUAAGCUUGGGUUGUGAAAUUCUCAGAGGCAAGCUCAUCACCAGAUGUGGCCCACAGAGAGAAGAGCCCCAGCCUGGCUCUGAGUCCACAUGCAAGGAAGGGCGACCAUGCCCAGAAGAGGAGAUGAAUCUCCAUUGUGACGUUGCUAGAAGAUGCUUGGUGGGUAUGUAGAAGGUUUCCUCCCUGGUUUCAGAGCAGGCUGCUGCAGUGCUGGGACUACAAACACGCCACCAUGCCCAGACUUAUUUCUUUCCAUAUGGAGUUGGAGAUCAAACUCAGGCCUCCACACUUUCGAGGUUACCUCCCUCCCCCAGCUUCCACCUGCCUUUAGCAAGGGACACCUUCCAUGAUAAACCAGGCAGGCCUGGCAUUUUCCACAAUCCCCACCUGAGUCUUCUGAUAGACCUGAGGAGAGGCUAAGUUCCUCAGAGACGGAUGCCGGGAGCACACAAUGCAUGGGGAUGCCAUGGAGGACGGCAGAGAGGACUGAGGACUUCAGCUCCCCUGAAGCAACAUUUACUUGACAUUGUAAACCGAGGGGUGCACACUGGGGAUGGGACUCUGACCCUCUGUGAGAACAGCCCAGGAACUGUGUGUUGCAUUGCGGAAACCCUCUGAAGGGUCAGCACUGUCGAAACAAAACAAAGUCAAAAUGAAGACCCCAGGCACCCAGUUUAAUGCAAGCUGGAGUUCAGAUGUUGUCUCAGAUAUGAUUCUUAUUCAGCCAGUCAGUAUGUGUUUCCUGAAAUCUCACUGGUGUCACAGAGAGACAGCAGAGUGAUACGCGUUGGCGGCCGGAUGACUUGAAAUGGCACUGUAAACACAAGAUGAUUUUACUUACGAAAUAUGGAGUUUUCAUAAAAUAGUUUGGGAUGAAGGAGACGGAGAAAAAGAACAAUGGGAAACCCCAGAAGACAAAACCUUUAAAAGUUCUUACGUGCUUGGUAUGCCUCUCCCUACUAAAUGUAAAAGAAAUCCCCCCAAAUAAAUAGUUUAAGAAAGUUUUGUAAACAGCAACUUAAUAAAAUUUACCCUA